rnacentral:rRNA from 1 species
GAUGAACGCUGGCGGCGUGCCUAAUACAUGCAAGUCGAGCGAAGCGGGGACGGGUGAGUAACACGUGGAUAACCUCCUAUAUGACUGGGAUAACUUCGGGAAACCGGAGCUAAACCGGAUACUUAUACAUGGAUCCGCGCUGCAUGAGCUAGUGGGUAAGGUAACGGCUUACCAAGGCAACGAUGCAUAGCCGACCUGAGAGGUGGAUCGGCCACACUGGACCUGGGACACGUUCCAGACCCCUACGGGAGACAGCAGUAGGUAAUCGGCCGCAAUGGGCGAAAGCCUGACGGAGCAACGCCGCGUGAGUGAUGAAGGUCUUCGGAUCGUAAAACUCUGUUAUUAUGUAAGCGGUACCUAAACAGAAAGCCCCGGCUAACUACGUGCCAGCCGCCGCGGUAAUAC